rnacentral:rRNA from 1 species
UACGGGGGGGGCAAGCGUUAUCCGGAAUGAUUGGGCGUAAAGCGUCCGCAGGUGGCAAUGUAAGUCUGCUGUUAAAGAGUCUAGCUCAACUAGAUAAAAGCAGUGGAAACUACAUAGCUAGAGUACGUUCGGGGCAGAGGGAAUUCCUGGUGUAGCGGUGAAAUGCGUAGAGAUCAGGAAGAACACCAGUGGCGAAGGCGCUCUGCUAGGCCGUAACUGACACUGAGGGACGAAAGCUAGGGGAGCGAAUAGG